rnacentral:rRNA from 1 species
GACGAACGCUGGCGGCGUGCCUAAUACAUGCAAGUCGAGCGAAUCAAUAGGAGCUUGCUCCUGUUGGUUAGCGGCGGACGGGUGAGUAACACGUGGGUAACCUGCCUGUAAGACUGGGAUAACACCGGGAAACCGGUGCUAAUACCGGAUAAUCCUUUUCCUCACAUGAGGGAAAGCUGAAAGUCGGUUUCGGCUGACACUUACAGAUGGGCCCGCGGCGCAUUAGCUAGUUGGUGAGGUAACGGCUCACCAAGGCGACGAUGCGUAGCCGACCUGAGAGGGUGAUCGGCCACACUGGGACUGAGACACGGCCCAGACUCCUACGGGAGGCAGCAGUAGGGAAUCUUCCACAAUGGGCGAAAGUCUGAUGGAGCAACGCCGCGUGAGCGAUGAAGGCCUUCGGGUCGUAAAGCUCUGUUGUUAGGGAAGAACAAGUACCGGAGUAACUGCCGGUACCUUGACGGUACCUAACCAGAAAGCCACGGCUAACUACGUGCCAGCAGCCGCAGUAAAAC